GCUCCCGUGACGGAAUCGGAAGACGUGCUAGGUCGAGAGUCUAGAUGAAUGCAGGUUCAAAUCCUGUCGGGAGCA
rnacentral:tRNA from 1 species